rnacentral:rRNA from 1 species
CCUACGGGAGGCAGCAGUGGGGGAUAUUGCACAAUGGGGGCAACCCUGAUGCAGCGACGCCGCGUGAGCGAUGGAGUACUUCGGUAUGUAAAGCUCUUUCAGCAGGGACGAGAAUGACGGUACCUGACCAAGAAGCCCCGGCUAAAUACGUUCCAGCAGCCGCGGUAAUACGGAUGGGGCAAGCGUUAUCCGGAUUUACUGGGGGUAAAGGGAGUGUAGGCGGCAGGGCCAGCCUGAAGUGAAAGCCCGGGGCUCAACCCCGGGACUGCAUUGGGAACUGCCCCGCUCGAGUGCCGGAGGGGCAGGCGGAAUUGCUAGUGUAGCGGUGAAAUGCGGAGAUAUUAGGAGGAACACCAGUGGCGAAGGCGGCCUGCUGGACGGUGUACUGACGCUGAGGCUCGAAAGCGUGGGGAGCAAACAGGAUUAGAUACCCGUGUAGUC